UUGAACGCUGGCGGCAUGCUUUACACAUGCAAGUCGAACGGCAGCGCGGGGCAACCUGGCGGCGAGUGGCGAACGGGUGAGUAAUAUAUCGGAACGUACCCAAGAGUGGGGGAUAACGUAGCGAAAGUUACGCUAAUACCGCAUACGAUCUAUGGAUGAAAGUGGGGGAUCGCAAGACCUCAUGCUCCCUGGAGCGGCCGAUAUCUGAUUAGCUAGUUGGUGAGGUAAAGGCUCACCAAGGCGACGAUCAGUAGCUG
rnacentral:rRNA from 1 species